GAAUUCGGCAAAAAUAAUAUUCGCCUGUUUAACAAAAACAUGUCUUUUAGAAUUAAAUUUAAAGUCUAACCUGCCCACUGAAAUUUUAAAUGGCCGCAGUAUUUUGACUGUGCAAAGGUAGCAUAAUCAUUAGUCUCUUAAUUGGAGGCUGGAAUGAAUGGUUGGACGAAAUAUUAACUGUUUCAUUUAAAUUUUUUAUAGAAUUUUAUUUUUUAGUCAAAAAGCUAAAAUUUAUUUAAAAGACGAGAAGACCCUAUAAAUCUUUAUAUUUUUUUUAUUUUAAUUGUUAAGAUUAAUUU
rnacentral:rRNA from 1 species